GCGGGUAGCUCAGGCUGGUAGAGCGCCAACGUAUACCGGAGGUCGCGGGUUCAAAUCCCGCUCCGCGCA
rnacentral:tRNA from 1 species